GCAGGGCACAGUGGCAUGCACUUGUAGUCCCAGCUACUUGGGAGGCUGAGGCAAGAAGAUCACUUGAGUCCAGGAGUUCAAGGCCAGCCUGGACAACAUAGCAAGACUCCCUUACUCAU
rnacentral:sRNA from 1 species